rnacentral:rRNA from 1 species
CACUGAUUAGUUUACUAAGAUGUGUUUUAGUGGCGGACGGGUUAGUAACACGUGAGCAACCUGCCUCGAAGCGGGGGAUAGCCUUCCGAAAGGGAGAUUAAUACCGCAUAUGGUCCACUCUUUAAAGGGGUGGAUCAAAGAAGCCUUCGGGUUUCACUUCGAGAUGGGCUCGCGGCCUAUCAGCUAGUUGGUGAGGUAAUGGCUCACCAAGGCAACGACGGGUAGCUGGUCUGAGAGGAUGAUCAGCAACACUGGAACUGAGACACGGUCCAGACACCUACGGGUGGCAGCAGUCGAGAAUCAUUCACAAUGGACGAAAGUCUGAUGGUGCAACGCCGCGUGGAGGAUGAAGGCCCUAGGGUCGUAAACUCCUGUCAUAAUAGAGUAAGACAUAUUGGGUUAAUACCCCGGUAUGUUUGAUAGUAUAUUAAGAGGAAGGGACGGCUAACUUCGUGCCAGCAGCCGCGGUAAUACGAAGGUCCCGAGCGUUAUUCGGAAUCACUGGGCGUAAAGAGUACGUAGGCGGUUUGGUAAGUCAGGUGUGAAAUCCCGAAGCUCAACUUCGGAACUGCAUCCGAUACUGCCAGACUAGAGUAAUGGAGGGGCAGGUGGAAUUCUCGGUGUAGCAGUGAAAUGCGU